rnacentral:misc_RNA from 1 species
CACCCCUCAAGCUCUGCUUGGUGUUGGGCGGCACCCGCCAGCGGUCCGCCCCAAAAUCAGUGGCGGCGCCACCCGGCUUCGAGCGUAGUAACGCUCUCGCUCCGGGGCCCGGGCGCGCUCCCGCCAGAAACCCCAACUUCCAAA